rnacentral:rRNA from 1 species
UACGGAGGGUGCUAGCGUUGUUCGGAAUCACUGGGCGUAAAGCGCGUGUAGGUGGCCUGUUAAGUCUGAUGUGAAAGCCCCGGGGGCUCACCCCCCGGAAGUGCAUUGGAAACUGCCAGGCUCGAGUCCCGGAGAGGAGGGUGGAAUUCCUGGUGUAGCGGUGAAAUGCGUAGAUAUCAGGAGGAACACCGGUGGCGAAGGCGGCCCUCUGGACGGUGACUGACGCUGAGACGCGAAAGCGUGGGGAGCAAACAGG